UACAGAGGUGCCGAGCGUUAGGCGGAAUCACUGGGCUUAAAGCGUGUGUAGGCGGACUUCUAAGUACCUUGUGAAAUCCCACGGCUCACCCGUGGAACUGCUGGGUAUACUGGUCGUCUUGAGCCACCUAGGGGCGAGCGGAACAAAUGGUGGAGCGGUGAAAUGCGUAGAUAUCAUCUGGAACGCCGAAGGUGAAAACAGCUCGCUGGGGCUGCGCUGACGCUGAGACACGAAAGCCAGGGGAGCGAACGGG
rnacentral:rRNA from 1 species